GGAUGUGAGGGCCAGCUGACUGGCACACCAGUCACCCUAGUGAUCAUCAAAGUUGACCUGGCUGACAAGGCAGGUGACCACUUCCGUCCCACCACUCCAUGUGUGUGCCUUCCUUUCUGCUUUUGCACACUCUUGGUUCCCCAGGCCCCAAGCUCUCUUUCCUCUGAGGGACCUACAUGAGCUGAAAGCAUUUUUCCCAAGCUCACACAGCACAGCGGGUCAUGGUUGGAGAACUAAGGUUAACAGAGCUUUCAAGCACACAGAACCCUUGGGGUCAGACAACAUAAGCAUCCAAGGAACGAAACAGUCCCUCUU
rnacentral:sRNA from 1 species